rnacentral:lncRNA from 1 species
AUGAUGACACAGGACCUUGUCUGAAUAUGAUGAUUUCAAGAUUUGAGCUUAAAUUGACACUCUGAAAUCUAGUCAGUGUGCCUCACUAGACUUUACAGAGCACAUUAUUCUUGAAAAAAAUCUUGGCUUUUUGUAAAAACUUAGAACAUAUAGAUAUGCCUUUUCUAGUAUAGAACUUUGCCAUUUCUUCAAAUGUCUUUUAUUUUCAUUGAUAUUCUGAGGUAAUUCUUUUUUUCUGAACUUUGUAUGUUGUUGAAAGCUAAAGGGAAACAUCUUGGAUCACAGAAGAUAGCAGGCAUCUGGUGAGAUGGAAGUAAGGAUGUGUACAAAUGAAACUAUCAACUAUUGAAAACAAAGAGUACUAAAGUCCUAGGGUUCUAAAUGAUGUCCAGGAAUGAAAGAAUAAUAUUUGUCGAGCAUAUAUUGUGGAUCACAGUAAGUAUAUUAAAAGGCUUCACAUGGAUCCUGUUGGUGUUUUAGGAUAAUUUGUGUGUUUUUCUUCUUUGGUGGCCUGUGAUUGAUCCUCAUGUCCAAACACCAUUAUAAAAUAGUUGUAUAAGAAAAAUUUUAGUGAAUGAAUGAAGAAUGACUGCUAAAAUGUUUGUUAGAAAAUGAAUGUUUACAUAUUUUAUGGUUACUUCCUUAUAGUGAAAUAUCUGUGGUAAGAAGUCAUGCCUGCCUGAUAUCUAAUAUCCUAAAAUUAAUUAGUAUUACCAGCCCUAGUUUUUUUUCUUUGCUAUUUGUUCUGGUUUUGGGUGAACACAGUAACCCCCAUUCUAUUUUUAUGUGGUACUGAGGAUCAAACCCAGUGCCUCAUGUGUUCUAGGCAAGCACUGUACCUCUGAGCCACAACCCCAGCCCAACCAGCCCUAGUUUUGUACAGUGCCUUGUCAUAAUAUUUUAGUGUUUUCUUGGGAAUUUUUAUGUUUUUGGGUUAAAAAAUGGAAAUCAAGCAUUUUAAAGUGUAUAGGAGGAGUCGUCUUAUCAUUUAUCAUGGAAUACAGUUGAAGCCAUGGGGUACCACCAGCUCAUCCACUGGGUGGCCUGUCACAGAAUUGGGUCCUAUUCCCCAGUACAAAGGGCUAGCCAUUGAAAAUUUUGGGUGCUGUUCCAAAGCAAAUUGUUUAUAAUCCUCAGUGAAGGUGAAAUAUUUUCAGGGAAUCAGUGAUAUUGAUAGUCAAGACACAUUGGUUUAUAAGAAAUCUUCCCACUGGAGUCUGUAUGGAUUAGGACGAUUGAUUGCAAAGGGGUCUGGCUAUGAGUAUCAUAGAGAUCAAUUAUGGCCCUAAAACUACUGAGUUCUUAAAAAGAUAGAGGAAAGAUACUGACUAAGUUACCUGUCCUCUGGGGAGAAGUUAGUUAAAGAUUGUUGUGUUGAAAUAGCAGGUAUGGGACAACAGUGUCUUGUUCUAAGCCCAGUCAAAAAGGGUCAGUGGGAUGGGUUGUUCUCCUCUCUUGGAGGAAAGGGUCUGUGCAUUGCAAGAAAUCACAGGCAUAGGUGGAUUUGGCAGUCUUUAGCAACUUUUUAGCUCUGCUUGACAAUAGCAGGCAAGUAUAUUAGGACAUUUCUGGGAGUAGGAUGAAGCUAAGAAUGAACUAAGAUCAGUAGUGUAGGAGGCAUAUUGAACAAAAAUGGUUUUAGUCCACAAGGAAGAUAGCAGAGGCAAAGAACUAUGAAGUUAACAAGGAAGAUGUCCAGAACUGGGAAGAUGAGAAGCCAUGGGGCCUCUGAGUCCAUGAGGGAUCUAUUUACCUGUCAUCCUUUUGAAAAGUAACUUUAGGUCCAUUAUGGGCUCACAACUACAAGUAGGCUUCAAGAAUCUUGAUUUUUGAAGCACCGAGUUCUAGGGCUUCAUCUGGGUGUGUGGUGAAUCUAGCUAGCAAAUCUCAGGCACCUUCUCCACUGUGAGGUUAGGGAGGAAAAGAGUAAAAUAGCUCUUUUAUCAGGGAUCUGCUGGGAAUCCUUAUUUCCAAGUCUGGGCUUAUAAAGAGGGAAUAUCUCUUUGACCUCAUCCUUCACUUUCUCAUCCAUAGGUGUAUAUUGCCUGUUAACUUUCUUUCUUUUUUAAAAAUUAUUUAUUUUUUAGUUUUUGGUGGAAACAAUUAUCUUUAUUUUUAUGUGAUGCUGAGGAUUGAACACAGUGCCUUGUGUAUGAUAAGCAAGCACUCUACUAAUAAGCCACAACCCCAGCCGUGUUAACUCUAUUAUUUUUAUUUAUUUAUUUAUUUACUUAUUUAUUGUGGUGCUGGGGAUUAAAGCCAGGCCCUUGUCUGCUAACUUUCUUAUAGAGGUUAUAUAUUGGAUUAGGCCAGCCCUUAUAAGUAUAGCAUCUCAAACGGACCUAAUCUGAAGGUGAGUUUUUGGAGCUAAUCAACCCAUGUAAGGGCUGUAGGAAGAAGCUCCAACCAUGGUAACGAGGUUUCUUGGCAAAGAUUUCUCAGAGUACAGUUUAUGGUAAGACUAGCCCAUUCUGCUUCUCCUGAAUAAUAUCUCUGGUAAGAAUGGUGGAAAUAUUUAAUUCUUAGGAUCUUUAUCAUCUGCUGAGUAAUCUGAGAGAUGAAGGAGGAUCCAUUGUCUCUUUGGAGAGAUCAAAUUAGCUUAAACCUGGGGAUGGUCUCCUUUAGUAAGGAUUUUAUACUUCAGGGAUCAAUUUGUCUUCACAGGAAAGAAUUUUACUCAUUUUUGUGAAGUUGUCUAUAAAAACCAGUAGAAAUUUAUAGCCUUUGGAAGUGUGUAGAUGAGUGAAAUUUGGUUUCUGGUCUUCUGCUGGGCAUGUGCCUUGGCAUUGCAUGGGCUAAAGUAGGAGGUGAAGCCUAGUUCCCUGAGGGUUAUUUUGGUUGCAAAGGUGGCAUGACCAUCAAACUCAUAUGUUCUAAAGAGAGUUCUUUGCCUGUGAAUAAUCUCUUACAUAUUUGGUAGAGACUUUCUUGGCACAAAUGGCAGGUAUCAUAUAAGCCUUUUAUAAACUUCUAUUGGAUGGACUAAGGAAUGUAGAUUAGUUUACUCUGUACCAUUCUUUUUAAAAAAUUUUUUAUAGUUGUAAAUGGAUAAAAUGCCUUUAUUUUAUUUUUAUGUGGUGCUGACGAUCAAACCCAGUGCCUCAUGCAUGCUAAGCAAGUGCUCUACCACUGUGCUACAGCCCCAGCCCUCUGUACCAUUCUUCAUGGUUCAGGUGUUACAUAAUUUCCUGUGACAUCCAAUUUUUCCCCCUCUUGGGUAUAUUGGGAUGUGGACAGCUUUUCACAGAGGAUAGAGAUGAGGACUUCUAUAAUGGUACUCUUCUAGAUGGUCAUGCAUGAACUUUUAUUGCCCUGUGCUUCCUCAUGAUUUUUGUUCUCAUGUUCCUGAUGCUUCCUUGGGCAAGUGCACUAUACUAACUCUCAAAGUCUUAUGUUUUGGGGUCCAUAUUUGAUUAGGUAAUUUUAAAGUCAAGUAGCCCCAUUCUUUCCAAAUAACUACAUGGGUGUGAACCACCCAAAAUAAGUGUCUAUAAUUUGAGUACAUGAUGACCCUUUGGCCUUUUUCUAGCUCCAAAACCUUGGUGAAAGCUUUCAAUCCGCCUAUUGGUCUGAGUUUCUUGGAAGAAUUUGCCUCUGCCUCAGUGAUAUCUUUGAAGGAGGAACAAAAUUGUAUAGCUUCCAUCUCUGAUACCCUCCUAUACAAAUCUACUUCCAUUAGAGAACUAGACUAUGUCCAAAUCAGCUAACAUGUGGAGCCCUGUAAAUCAUUUUGGCUCAUGCAUAUUAGGUCACUUAUUACAAGAAUGAAAAGACACUUGGUCCCCCAGAAUACACAACAGGAUAGUUGGAUUUAAAGAAGUCCAUCUCUAUAAAGUGAUGUCAAGUUUCUAAAAGGAUUGACUGAUACUUGAGUAACCUGACAUCUGUAAGCCAGUGGGGCUCUUUGAUUUUCUAAUAAGCUAUGAAUUUGAUGUGUGGUAUAUGUCUUCUGUGAAAGUCACGAGGUAAUUUUUUUAAAAUGUUUUGUUUAUAUACGACAGCGGAUUGCAUUACAAUUCUUAUUACACACAUAGAGCACAAUUUUUCAUAUCUCCAGUUGUAUACACAGUAUAUUCACACCAAUUUGUGACUUCAUACCUGUACUUUGAAUAAUAAUGAUCAUCACAUUCCACCCUCAUUAAUAACCCCAUGCUAGAGUUCCUCUAUUCCUCCCAUGCUUCCACUCCCUAUCCUAUGAAUCAGCUUCCUUAUAUCAAAGAAAACAUUCAGCAUUUGGUUUUUUGGGGAUUGGCUAACUUCACUUACAUUAUCUUCUGUAACUCCAUCCAUUUACCUGCAAAUGCCAUGAUUUUAUUCUCUUUUAUUGCUAAGUAAUAUUCCAUUGUGUAUAUAUGUGGUGCUGAAGAUCAAACCCAUGGCCUCAUGCAUGCAAGGCAAGCACUCUACCACAGCACCAGCCCCUGUUCACAGAUUUGAUGUGAAUGUUUUUUAUAUUCUAAUAUAAAUAGAACCAUGUGAUUUCUCCUUUGUAUCUCCUCAGUGGUGUUAUAAUCCUGCUGGAGUUAUGGUGAAGGAACAUCAGUUGCCACUAUGGGAAAUUAACAAUUUGUCAGAUGAGCCCCGUCUUCAUAUUGCAGCAUGCCCUAUUGCAACUUUCUGCUUGAGAGUCUGAUUCGGGAUACUUAUGUCCCUCCAGGUAUAGUUUAAAGAGACAUUUAACCUUUGUAAUUCCUCAGUAAGCCUUUCAGGAUCAACUGAGAAUCUUCCCAGGUCUUCUUUUACCUGUCUGAGAUUUUGAAUGGUUAAUGGAAUAUGGUUAAUGAAACAUUGAGCUGUUAGCCCUUCAACCUCUUAUAGAUGACAGGUCCUGGAGAUUGAGGGGUCCUGACUAAAGUGGUCAGGAAUAUCUAAGACCUGAUUGUACUUUUCCCAGUUAUGAGUGAUGGGCUCUACUGUGGUAGUUAAAGGCAUCUUAGAGUGGGUCACUUAUGGCUCUUAUUUCUCAUAUUGGGCUAUGGAUGGGAAUGUAGAAUUUCAAGAAAAUCAUAAUCGUUGGGUUCAUUUACAGAGGUCUUCACUCACUGUCUCUCAAGACCAUGAAAUCCUGAACAUAUGGAACUUCUUUUGACAUUCCUUGGUUGCAGCAGAAAAAGCAUGGUAUUAGCGUUAAUGUUUCCAAGUUCAGGCCAUGUUUGUUUAUCUCCUCUCUAUUUUAUGGCCAAGUUUCUAGGCAAAAUAAAAUUAGCUUUUUUUUUGAAUGCUUGAGGGUCAGAUUUAUGUUAAUUUUUUAAGAUGCUGCACCUGAGCGGUGAGUCUUGAUGUAUGGACAUCUGGGUAGCCAUCUGGAAAAGAAAGACAAAAGAGUAUGUGAGAGGUGUCCUUUAUUCUAGGCAUAUGAUCUAUUGGAUGAGCCAUCCCUCACCCUGGGGAGUUAUGACAUUAACUGCUUUUACUGGGUAUUUGCAGUUUUUUCUUGGGUCAUCCAGGCCCAGAGAUCAGUUUUCUUUGUCCUUUCCAUUGAGAAAUUUGGGAAUCUAUAAAAUUUAUUGUCUGUCUGUGAGUGAACUAUAAGGAGUGGUUCCUAGGAGGCAUAAUGACCAGCAGGGGUGGAUCCCAGAUUUCUUUCCCCAUAUCUACCCUUGCCUCAUAUCUACCUGUCUGCCUACUGUAACACUUCUACAGUUGAAAUAAACAGUUCCUGUAAUCACACAUUAAUGUCUUCUAGGAGAUAUAUAUCCAAAGUAGUAGCAUGGGGUCUAUUAUUUCCAUAAUAAAAGUUGGCCAGUUUACCAUAACACUUUUGUAUCAGAGAUGUUAGAAGUUGACUGAGAACUCCUUCAGAAUUGUUUUAUUGAACUUUUGCUUCAUCUCUUUGAACUGCUUUGUUUUUGUUUUGACAUCUACCUUUCUCCUUUCAUACUAUUGAUUUAUACUUAAUCUGGAAUAUUUUUGGGGUUUUAAUUUAUAUGCUUUGCCUUCAAAUUCAUUGAUAAUAAGUUAUUGGGGGAGAACAGACAGUUGUUGGUACUGUAUCCGUCUGUGGUGACAUUUGAAUAUUCCUAUUUCAGUUUAUAGGACAAUUUGCUUAUGGAAGUUGAUUAUAAAACACUAGAUUCAGAAUUGAGCAUGGUGAUACACACCUGUAAUCCCAGGUACUCAGGAGGCCAAAGCAGGAGGAUUAUGAAUUCAAGGCCAGCCUCAGCAAUUUGGCAGGACCCUAUCUCAAAAUAAAAAGAAAAAAUGGUCAGGAUAUUGUUCAGUGAUAAAGCACCCAUGUAUUCUCUCUCCAGUACUGGGGUUGUAAUGUUGGGAGAAGAGAAAGUGAACUUAGUUAUACAAAACAAAAGAUCUCAAUCUUAAGGUACAUUGUUUUGUGUGUGCAUAUUUGUGUCAGUAUGUCUCUCUGCCUGUAUGCCUGCUGAUUUUUUUUUUGUUUCUUACUAUUGUCCCCUUAAUUCUGCAUCAGUCUAUUACAUUGUUUUCAUAUCCUUUGCCAAGUAAAGGCAAUCAUUUUACCAGAUAAGAGGACUGUCUAUGCAUAGAGAUACUUUCUAUAUGUUAAAUUUUUUUUGAUUUUUUUUUUUUUGUGCUAGGGUUUGAACAUGGGAUCUAUUAAAUGCUACUAUGCAUUAUAGCCCUGGCCUAUACAACCCCAGUCCCAUUCUUUUUAUUUCUUUUUAAAGUUAGAUUUUAAGAGAGACUUUGGUAAAGACCUUGGCUGGAUUUAUGAUGAGCUAUGUUUACUGAGCAUGAUGAAGUGAAGCUCAAUAUGUUUACUCUGAGGUCCAGCCUAAGUGUCAUUUUUAAGGAUUUAGGACAGAAAUAUUCUGAAUGUAAGUUUUUAAAAUGUAAAUUUCACAAGGUUUUUCUUAUCAAUACUUUCUGGUAAAGGAGAAUGGACUGGACUGGUAGAUUUUUUUUUUUUUUUGCAGUUCAGUAGACAAAAGUGGUUAUAUUAGUAUAGUUUUUUUUGUAGAGUGCUUCUAUAUUCAUAGUCUUGAUAAAUUUCAAAUUUCUCUUUUCCAUUAUGUGUUUCAAGUGAUAAAUUGAGGAGAAUAAGGACUUGGAAGGUACUAUGUAUCCCUACCCCCUUACUAGCAUCACUUAGGUUCAAACGUCUGUGAACAUUUCAUAAGCAUUUUCCUAGUAACUGUGAAGUAGUUUCUAUAUUUACCAGUUGAAUAUAAAAUUGAUGGUUUAUUAUGUAUAGUUUAAGAUAAAGUUAAUUUAUAGCUUUUGCACAUGCUUAAGGUAUAUACAGAGUCAAUUUGGGGUUUGAACUUAAGGUCUUGGACAUGUGACCAAGGGCUAACUGAGCUGUAUCCUCAGCGAUCUGGUUCUACUUUUAAUGUCUUUUUCUGUAUCUUGGCAGUAUGGAAUCUUAGAAGUUUGGACUGUGAUGUAGUUAAGGGAAUGAAAUUGGUAUUUUGUUGGUGAUGCUGGUCACACAAGAUAAAGAUUUGCUAAAUAUUAAUUUCUUGAGUUAUGUAUUUUAUCUCAUUGUAUCCUUUUAUAUUUACUUGUUUUAUGAUAUUGGGUGCUGAACCCAGGUAGACAUUAUUUUGUGUACUACUUGCAUACUUUAAUUAUACUGAUGCUUGAAUUGUUUGAUUAUUGGCCAUUAGAUGAUCUUUCAACUAAUUCCUGCAUCCUUUUGGAGAGGAUUUCCUGAGGAUUAAACUCCAAGUUGCUUUCCCACUGAGCUACAUCCCCAGCCCUUUUCCUUUUUUUUUUUUUAACAGAGUUUUGCUAAGUCUCAAAGGUUGUUCUCCUUUCUUAGCCUCCUGAGUAGCUGGAAUUAUAGCCAUGCACUGGCAUGUUAAUAUUUACCUUUUAUUGUAGGAGUGAUACAUUGUUUGUUACCUGUAGUUGACAAUGUAGGAUAAGGUAAUUAAAUAGUUAAUUUAGAAAAAACCUGUUUAAAAAUCUAGCACAGAUGGUUGUAGAUAUUAAGACUCUAUCCUCAAAUAGUCAUCUCAAUUGCUAGAGUCUACAUGAGUUUUAUGUAUGUAUAUAAAUAUAUGUAUACUAAUGAACAAUAUCAGUAUAAAUAUUGUAACUGUAUAAAAAUUAGGGUGUCAAAGUUGUUUGGGGUAUGGAGAAAUGAACAUUCAUUUAAAAGUAAGGUAAACAAGGAUUUUUUUCUGGAUUUUUCUUUUAUUGAGCCAUUUUUCCAGUUUUGCAUAUUCAACUUUGAUUUAUCAUAGUAUUUUUGAUCUUGACUAAUAGCAAUAUAUUGGGUCAAUUGAGAAAGUUGAGCUACCGUUCCACUUGAUGGAAGUAAAAGUGUUCUGUUGAGUGAGAAAGAAAAGGAACAAGUGUAGGAUCUGUUGAGGUGUAGUGUAUAUAUGUGUAGGUUCUUUGACCUUGUAAUAUUUGAUGCAAUUGAGAGUGGACACUGUAGUCUUUGUUGUAUAAGCUUCAUCCAAAUAACUUUAUUUGGUUGGUAGUUCUUCUGUACAGAUGACCUGAAGAAAAUUCUCCACAAAUAAGAAUCUGUGGAAGAGAUGAACAAUUUGUUUUUGUGGUUUGGGGAUAGUUUCUUCAACCUGAUGAUGAUUUUCAUCUCUGCCAGGGAAUUUCCAGUCCAGCUAAUUUACAGUAGAAUAAUUUGGCAAAGAGUAAUAGAAGGCAAGAAUUAGUAAUAGGUUGUUGAGUGCAUUGAUGGAUGGGGGAAAGGAAAUAUAGAAUCUAAGUAUACAGAGGUUGGAGCAUGUCCUUAAAUUGUUAUAAAGGUAGAUAUGUAAAUUUAGAGUAAUAUUAGGAUGUUUCACUUUUUGGCAUUGAAAGAACUUAUAUUUGUAUUUUGUAACAGUGAUGCAGUUGAGAAGUCAGUCAUCAUUUACAUGGCAAUAUUUGUUUUUCUUCAGAGGGUGAGUCUCAGCCCCCUUUUCUGUGCCCUCUUUUGAGGUGACUAUAUAAGGGAAUGUCUUAACAUUACUGUGACUAGCAAGAUUUGCUGAUCAAGUAUCUGUAUUGGAAUGGGUAAAGGGCAUUUCUAGACAGCUUUGAUUAAAUUGGAGCUUUUCAAAAUUUAAUGUGCAUAUGAAUUACUUGGAGGAGAGCUUAUUAAAACAGUUUUCUGGGUCCCAGUUUUGGAAUUUCUGCUUUUCAUUAGGUAUAGAUGUGAAAUUAGAUUUUUAAUAAGUUGGCAGAUGGUAUUGUUCCUAGGCACAACACUUAGAGAACAAUGGGGUGGUUGUGUUCAGGAUGGAGUUUUCAUUUUCUGAAUGUGCUUUUAUAUGACUUAAUUAAUUAAUUAAUUAAUUUUUUGUCUUUGUUGAUUUUUUUUUUACAUUCAGUCUCCUGGUGAUCUUAUGAUAUGUCUUCUAUGCUUAAAGCAAUAGACAUUUGUUUAUCUGACUGCAAGAAUAGCUAUGCAUAAAUCCCUGGACAAAAAUAAUUAAAGGGAAAAAGGUAGAAAGAAUAAAAGUUGUCAUUAGUGUGUACCCAGAGACAGUGUGUUGAUGUAGGUCAGUGUUAGAGUGGCUGCCUAAUAGGUGCAAAGCCCUGGGUUUGAUCCCAAACACUUCCAAACAAAUGUAAACACAGUGAUAUUAACUCUAUGAAAACUGACAUAACAUUUGAUUGCUUUAACAUAAUAUUUAAUAUGACUUAAUUUAUAUAGAUGUGGACAGUGCAAUGUAAGGUAUUCUUAUAGCAUGUUUGUAAUUGAGGAAAUGAUAAAUGGAGUUUGAAAGUUGUCCUAACUAAUUUGAAGAUGAAAGCUUUUUAUUGUUUUCCUAAAAAUAAAUCAGCUGUUCAAAUGCUAGAUUAAAAUUAGAUUAACUUUGAAUCCACCACAAUUCUAAAUCCAGUUUAAUUAAACACACUUCACAAAAAAAAGACUUUCACCCAUAAUUUUUUGGUUAAAAAAAUUUCAGAAAUCAAUAAAUUUACAAGAAAUAUUAAAUUUUCCUACCAUAUUAUAUACUUUUAUUUAUUUAGCGCACUCAUCAUAUAAUAGUGGCUUUAAAUUUUUUCAAUGUAUUUUUAAUUUUUUCUAAAAAUAUUAUCAUACAGUAAUUGUACACAUUUAUGAAGAUUCAGUAAGAAAAUUUGAAAACAUGAAUAUAGGAUAUAAUUAUCAUAUCAGAGUAAUUAGUGUUUUUUUUUUCUUUUUUGGUAUUAGGAGUUGAAACCAGGGCCACUGAGAUACACUCCGAUCCCUUAUUUGUUUUUGAGACAUGGUCCAGCUAAGUUGCCAGGCUGGCCUUGAGUUUGGUAUCUUUGUGCCUCAACCUCCUGAUUAGCUGGAUUGUAAGCAUGUGCUAAUAUAUCUGGCAGAAUAAUUAGCAUUUCUGUCUCCAGUAUUUAUAAUUUCUUUGUUUUGGAGGCGUUUGAAAUAUUUUCUUCAAGUUCUUUAUUAUAAAAUAUAUAUUAAACUUGUUAACUAUAGUUACUGUCUUAGCUUUACAUUGCUGUGACAAAAAUACCUGACAAAAACAACCUAGCAGAGUGAAAUUUUAUUUUGGCUCACAAGUCCAAAGGUUCAGUUUGUCUUUGGCUGAGUCCACUGCUUUGAUCCCCAAGAUGAGGUGGAGUAUCACGACCAGAAUGCCCCCAGAAGAAAACUGCUCAGCUUAUGCAGCCAUCAGGAAAUAGAAAAGGAGAAGAUGGAAGGGGGAACACAGUGAAGAUGAAAACUUCCAAGCCACACCCCCAGUGACUCCCCUCUUCUAGCUAUACCCCAUCUGCUUACAGUUAUUAUCCAGUCAGUCCAUUCAAACUAAGGGGGACUGAUUUGGAUUACAGGUCUCCUAAUCUAAUCGUUUCACCUCUUAUUAUUCCUGCAGGGACACAGGAGUUUUGGGGGACACCUCAUAUCCAUACUAUAACAAUAACCCUACUGGGCUGUAGAACACUAUCUCUUCCCAUCCAUGUUGACAUAAAUCACAUGAUUUUACCUUUUUUUAUGGAUGUAAAAAAGUAUACACACACAGAGUCAUGUACACACCACAUUUUCUUCAUCUAACUUCUGAUGGACGACUCAUUUGAUUGCAUAUGUUGGAUCUUCUGAAUAGUACUAGAAUGAUCAUGAGAAUAUAGGAGUCUCUUUGAUGCAGUGAUUUUUAUUUCCUUUGGAUCUGACUUCAUUAGUAUCUUCUAAUGGUAGUUCUCUAUGAGAAUAGUGUUACAAUAGUCUGUUUUCUUAGAAACUUUGUAAAAUUAGUCACUACAGAGAUUAGAAGUUGUAAAUAAUAUGGAUAUAUUCAGAUCAAGAUUAGAAGUUGUAAAUAAUAUGGAUAUAUUCAGGACAAGUCAGUUAUUUCCCAUAAUAACGACAGCUGAAUAAUAUAUCCAAACUUGAAACAAAGAAACUUACUUACUUUUACAUUGACUUGAAUUGAAUAAAUUCGUCCCUUUUCUGAGAAUAAGUUACUGCAAUUAUUUUGUAGGUUGAUCUUGUAAUUUGUGGUUAACUUAUCUAUUGGUAAAACUCUCUUUAAUGAACUUGCCUAGACACUGAAUUCAAAUUAUAUAGACCAAUUAGGCAUUUUAUCUGCCAAGUGUCUUGUGGCCCAGAGUGCUAUUGGAGCAAAAAUAACAAAUGCAUCCAUUAGAAAUUGUUGAAGUCAUAAUGACACUUUCAUAUAAGCCUUGUUAUUUAAUUUGUGUGAGAUGAUUACAUGGCAAAAUUUAGAAAUGUAGUUUGAAGAGGUUGUAGACUUUUCUUUACUUUAUGAGGAAAAUGAAAACAUUAAGGAAUCACCAGAGGACAUAGUGUCCUUUUUUUCCUGCCCUCUGUCACAAAGGGCUGACACAAUUGGUAUAAUUAAUUUUACCAAUUAAUUAAUUUUUGUUUCAUUGGUAUACUCUAUCAAAAUUAUUGAUAGAAUUAAUACAUGAAUGAAUAGUAGGUGUAAGAAUUUUGCCCUCUAGUGAAAUGAAGGCCAAGUUUGCCCUUCAGCUUUACCCUGUUUUAUCCUAUUCUUUGUUAGGGGUUAGGUCAAGAAUCAGGUCUUUUUUAUUGUACCAUGAUGCUAGAAUAAAAAAAGUGGGGAAAAUUGCAUGGUUUUUAAGUUGCCUAUUUCAUCAAUUAAAAAGGUAUGCUUCCAGAUUUCUAGUUGGGUUUUUUUUUGAAAUGGAAAUAAUCUCUUAAGGUGUUGUCCAUUUUAUUGGGUGUCUCAAAUUCCUUAAAGUUUUUCUCACUGGAGAAUAAAUCUAUAGGAUGUUGUAUAACAUGGGUUCAUUUGAAGUUUUCCAUUGUGAAAGAUCUUAAUUAGAUAUAUCAAGGGGGCAUUGCUAUUGGAAAGCAUAUGGCAGAGUUUAUGUGUUAGUGGGUAAGAAUAAUUAAUUGACCAUAUAAAAAUGAAUGAAAAUGUAUAUGUAAUUCUGUGACCUGAAAACUAUAUAAUAUGAAAAUGAUUACAUUUUAGUAUAAAUAAAUUAAAAAUUUAUUCCUAAAAUGGGAAAAAAAUUGAGGAUAAUGUCAUUAUAGAUUUAUUAAUACAUAUUUCUUAAAAUGAGUUUAUUCUAUUUCACUGUUAAUUCUGAAGAGCUGAGGCAAAAAGAUGGAUACAAAUAAGGAUUUCCUUAGAAAUUUUAUGCAUUGCAGAUACUGUUCAUGCUCCAUUAUAUGACUGUUCUGGUACUGCUUCUAUAGCUGAAGGCUGAAGGCUUUGUCAUCUAAACCAAUUUACUUUUUUUUAACCCAAUUCCCUUGCUUCCAGAGGUUCUUCAAUAUAUCUUUUGGGUGUGGCAGUUGUGAAAACAUGAUGGAACUCAUUCUUUUUUUUUUUUUUUUAUAAAUCUGAAGUUGGCCUUUUUAAAAGUGUUAGAGAAGACACAAAUGACGUCAGUUGAAAAUAUUUAGAGCAUAUUAUACAACAAUAAAAAUGGAAACUUCCCAUUGUUAGGCACUGGGCAAAAGAUGUUUUAUAAUUUUUAUUGGUUCAUGUUAACUAUAAUGAGGGGAUCAAUUAUGCUGUACAUGCACAACACAAAAUUUGGUCUAUUUAUUCUCCUGGGUUCAUAAAAUUUGUUGCAUACCUUUAAUUGUAUUCUUCUACACCUUAGGCAAACAAAAAAGCCAAAAGUAUUUGUUUUUCCUUACAAUGAUCUUUGCAAUUAAAACCUUACAUAUGUAAUACUUGCAGGCAUAUACAGCAAAUAUAUUCUUUUUUCCCUCUUGUUAGUAUUGUAAAACAUUUCUAAAUCUUCAAAUUUUAUUAUUUUUUAGGAAAUAAUAAGCUUAUGAGUCUAGGGAAAUACUUGGGAGAAUUGUGGUGGCAUAAUAGUAUUUCAGUGCAGAUAUAAUAAUUGAAUGACUAAUGUGUAUGAGUUUCUUGUAUUCUACAAGAGUCAGAAUGAAAUUAAUCAUGUAUUACUUUUCAUUCUUUUUAUUUGUAUUGUUUUAAUCUUUCCUGAAAUCUAAUUAGAGGAACACAAGCACAUUGAUUGUUAAUGAGUUUAUUAGGAUGUUUUAAAAAUGGUUUCUUUGAUAAAAUAGCUGUUUUCCUAGGGGAAAUUUCCAAAAACACAUUUGGUAAAUAUAGUCUUAAAUGUUUUAGUAUGGAAUAAAUUUUAUGUUCAUUUUUUUCAGUGUUUUAAGAGUAAUAAAGAAGGAGAUUAAAAAUGCUUUAUAUAUCAAUUAGAAGCAUUUUUAAAGUACAUUUGAGAAUUCACUCUAUGCAGCGUCUCAAUGUAACUGUUUUCUGACAUUUUCUUGGUUAAAUAUAGAGAUUGUUAGCCAUGAGUUUGAACUAUAUAGAAAGAUGACUAAAGAAAAGACUACCUUUGAAUGAUGUAAAUUGAAUUCCUUUGAUUAGACUUUGGUAUUAAGAAUUUAGUAUUCUUUUCCCAGGAAUACUACAUGCACAGAACUGUUAAAUGCAGAACUCUAUUUAUCUGCUUAUUUAUUUAUUUAUUUAUUUAUUAGUUGUUGAUGGACCUUUAUUUUAUUUCCUUACUUAUAUGUAGUGCUGGGGAUCAAACCCAGUGCCUCACACAUAUGAGGCAAGUGCUCUACUGCUGAGCUAUAACUCCUGUCCCAUGAGCUACAACUCCAGCCCCUGGAAUUUUGUUAAGGCUGCUAUAUGUGUAGAACUCAUGGGUAUAUCUAUGUUUUGCAAAUGUCUCACUGUUAAAUGUCUAUGAUAUGAGCUUUCCUUUUCAUGAUGAAGUUGCAGAAGAGAUCAACCUUUAUGAACACUAACAUUGACAACCAGGUGGGCUUUGUAUGACAGAGGUAUGUGUAUGCCACUCAAAACUGUUAGGGAAUAUUUCUAAUAAGAAAAAUGUCUGAUACUUUGCAUUUGAGGAAUGAUUAUGAUUCUGUUUAUUGCUUAGAGGGAUUGCUAAACUACUUUAAAUUUAGCAAAUUUAAGAUAUGGAUUUAGUAUAUAAGGAUGGAGUUUUAGCAGCUGGGCCUAUGUUCAGAGAUGGUUUUUAUAUGACUUCCAUGUGAAAAGAUUGAAAGAGUCAUUGGAUCAUUGCCCUCAAUUUUUAGAUUUUGGUAUAUGAUAGGAAAUGUUCUUAUAAUAUAUGUAGCAUAUAUAACUAUAUAUCUACCUGUUAUGGAUAUGAGUGAUACACACAUAUAUUCAUGUCAUAUAUACAUGGUAUAUAUGCAAGUUUUGGUUUACAUUUUUUUUUGUUUUCAGUUGUUAUGUACAUGUUCACAUGUUGUUUACAUUUGUAGAUGUGGAGAAUUUUCUGUCACAUUUUGUGAAUAUAUUUUGCAUAAAAUAAAUAGGAUAAAUAAAAAAAUAAAAUAAAUUAUAGGACAGAAAGUGUUUUUUUGUUAAUUGAAAUGCAAUUAACAAAAUGCAAAAACCCAAGCCUCUAUUUAGUAGAAUUUUUACACAGAUAUGUAUAUAUAGUUAGUACGUUUUAAAACAUGUUUCAAGAAAUGUAUGACUUCUGAAAUCCUUCUUGCAAUUAAUCAAUCCAUAUUUCUGUGUUACGAAUCAUUAUUUGUGAUUAGAGUCAUUUUGUAAAAUGAUUCAUUACCUUUGCUCUUAACUUUUUUUUGCCUUUUUGUCUGUGAGGAGGCAUGAACACACUGUGUUGAGCUAGAAUUAACUAAAUGUCAGAAUCACAUCUGUGUGUUCAUGUGUGUGCACGCAUGAAUGUGUAGUAUGUGGAUGUGAGAGUAUAUACAAAAAGUAUACAUUUAUAUGUUUUGAACAUUUUCCCACAGAAUGGCAUUGCUGAUGCAUGUACAUUUUGGAAAAUAACCUUUUUAAAUUAAUACAGCCAUGUAAUUUUGUACACAUUAAAAUUUAUUGUUGGAAGGUAUGUGGAAAGGAUGGAUUUUUUUAUGAUCACAGUUUCAUGUACAUGUACAAUCCUUUUGCUUACUUCUGUUUUUGUUUUGGUAGAGAUGGUGAACAUUUAUAUAUUGCAACCAUUACUUUGUUAAACUGUUUAACUAGUUGAAAUAUAAAUAAUUAUAAAUGAUUUUAACAGCAUUAGGUGGUUAGCUUUGGGGGUGUUUAUUAAACAUCUGUAAUAGUUGCUUUAUAAUAUUUCAGCUUUUUUAGUUAGAUGCAUGUGAGUUGAUGAGAAUUAGAAAAAUAAGAAAUAUUUUUCUUUUAAUGGUAAAGUAUUAUUUUUACCUUUUGGAAAAACGUGAAUAUAUUUCUGUGACUGUACAAAUUACUUGUACAUUACAUUGACAAAAGCUUCUGUGCUUUCAUGUUAUUAGUACAUAUAUUGUCAUGUUAGAGAAGAUAGUGGUAUUUUACCACAUUUACAAGUAAAAUUAGAUUAUCAUUCCAGGGUGUCCAUUUAAUGUAAAUACAAUGUGUCUAUGUAACAGAUAAGUAGACAUGUCUUAUUUUGCUAAACUUACGUUCGUGAUGCAAUUCUUUCUUUUUACAUGUUUUAUAGAAUUUCUAAAUUAUGUGGUUCUUUUUUUUACUACAUGGCAAAAAAAACCACAACUUUAUAAAUAAUGGGGAAAUAUUUUUUUUUUAUUUCAAACAUGUAUUUCUAGCGUCUCACAAGUAUAAAUUUUGUAAAUCCAUAAAAUUAGUAGUGCUAUGGUCAUUUUUGGUUAAUGUGGCAGUUAAAUUGGUUAUUCAUAAGUAGCUCUUAGAGCUAGAAAAAUUUAUCAUAUAUUAAUAUAGAUGUUAGAAGGAGAAAAUAAGAAAAUAGGAAGACACUAUGCAAUUAACUCCAUUUCCAUGGAAGUCUACAGUUUGCCAUGUAUGAAUUGCAUAUUUAAAAAUACUCAGAUGAAAUAACAGUUAAAUCCAGUCGUCUUUUCUGGAUGUUCCAAGCUUCCUUAUAUCUUUUUUCUCCUUUGCUGUCAAUAUUCAAGAUAUAAAUGAUUAAAGAGAGUUUGUACUACCUCUUGGAACUAUACAAUGUUCUGUAUGUGUUCCCUUGGUUGCAUGACAAUAUUCAAGACAACUUUGUAAAUAAUGGUAAAGCCAAAAUUUUAAUUUUCAACAUCUAGUUGUCCUUCUAGAUGUAUAGAGUCUCACAAAGUAUAAUUUUGUAAAUAAGUCAUUGUAAAAUUUCAUGAUUUGAUUGUUUUUUUGAAAUUUUUUGCUAAUGAAAUAAAGUUGUGGGUUUUAUUAAAUAUCUGUUUAUUGAGUUAUGGGAAGGAAAAGGUUAAAAUAUGUGUAUUUUAAGCUUUUGAGUUUCCAUCAAAAGAAAAAAAAUACAUUUUAACCAUAGUUAUUUGCUUGUAUUAUAUACUUAAAACUUCAUAAGUUUGUAGUUGUAUUUGCUACAUUUUAAUAGUAUUUUUAUAAUCAUUGUAGAAAAUGCCUUUUAUAAGAAAAAUUUCCUUCUACCUCUUUGACUUAAUAUAGUAUUAUAUGUUUUUGGACUGCAUGACAAAAUUCAAGACAACUUUGUAAAUACCAGUUACCCUUGUCAUUUGAAAAUAACUAGUUUUGCCAGGUGCUCUGGGUCUCAAGAAAGUAUAAAUUUGUAAAUAUUUCAUUGUAAAACUCCAUAGUUAAAUUGAUUGCUGUAAAUGCUUUUACAGUCCAUUGGUUAAUUAAUAUAAAGACAAACAUUUUGCUGUUUUGUGAGAGAGCAAUAGUUAAAUUGUCUGUAUCUCCUCACUGAUCAGGAUCAUUGCUGUUUGUGUGCAUUAUAUAUUUAAACAAUUACCCUGGCAUACAGUUUGACCUCAGGUACCAAGUAGAAGAUAUGAGAAGGAAAUUCCCAUUUUAAAAAAGAGACAGAGAGUUAAAAAGAUUGGUACAAUUAUUGUUACCUGGCUGUAUUUAUUCUCUGCAAAUUUACUUGCAUGUACAUGCAUUUAAAAUCAUGUUUUAGUUAAAUAGUUGGGAUAUUUCUCAUUCCAGCUUUUCUCAUUUGUUUGUUUAAUGAUUUAUAUUUUAUUUUACUUUAAUUUUUAUAUUUUUGCUUGGGAUUGUUCCGAGAGACUCAUGAAUGAUAUAGGCUUGUGCUCUGCCACUACGCUAUAUCCCCAGGCCUUUUUAUUUUACAAAUGAUGAAACUUUUAUUUUUUAAGCUUGAACAUAUUUCUAGAAUCCAAUUUAUUAUUAUUUCUAACUAUAAUUUUAUAGUAAUACUAAGCUCUAUUACUUUGAAUUCCAAAUCUGUUUCCAUGUUUGUAUAUCCCUGUGAGAACAAAACAACAAUAAUUAUGAAUAGUUUGGUUUUUCUGAUAUUAUUUUUGAAAUUUUCUUGUGACCUAUAUAUAAUUCAUGUAUGUGAUAAUCAAAGACAAGUCAUGUGUUACCUGUUACAUAAAGAAGGAUUUUUUUAAAUAAAAAUUCUGGUGUUGAUCAAAGUAUAAAUCCUCAUUUUUUGAAUAGAAUUUGGUAUAGAUCAUCAAAUUCUGUGGGUAUAAAAUAUUUUAAAUGUAAUAAUUGGCUAUUGGAAUAGCCAAUUCCAAAUGUUGGAAUACUUAAACAUUUGCUAGGAGGAAAGUAUUAUGUGUUUACUUUAAAAACAUAAUGUAAACAACUGAAAUAUCAACCAGUGAAAGAAAGAUUGUAUUUAUUAUAGCUUACUCAACAUCAAUGUAACUUUUGCACAGAAAUAUUUCAAUAUUGAUGUAGGUUUUGAAGUAUUUUGAGUUGAACAGAUAUUGAAUAAUUGUUUGUUAUAGAUUUGAAUGCUUAUGCCUCUUUGUCCUAGCUGAAGUAUUAAUGGUUAACUAUAAAAUAUUUAUAACAUUUUGGAAAUGAGAUUUUUAUAGUGAGGUAAUAUUUCCUAUUGUUAAAAUGUUAUUUUAUAAUUCUGUUGGCAUUUUUAUAUAUGAGUUAAAAUUCAAAAGAUGCAUCCACAGUUGUAAAUUGCUACGUGAAAAAAAUCUAAAAUGAAUAUGUCUAAUGGAAAUAGAAAAAUUGUCUGGAAGAAUAAGGUAAAAACUUACCAGUCCUCUGUAGAGAGAUGAGAAUAGAAGGAGUGUUUCUUUUACCUUCUUUUGGUUUUUAUAAAGGUAUUAAAAUAUGAACAACUAAACAAGAAAGAAGUGUUAAGGAGACAGUUUGUACGUAUUUUCAUUCUUGCAACUCACCAUCGUUGGAGCAUUUGGUUGUCAUAUCCAGCUUUGUCUUCCCAGAGGCCUUUGUGAAUGAUUUUUUUCAAUGAUUUUAUGAAGAGUAUGCAAUUUAAGAGAAUAAAUAGUAUUGGAUUAUCCAAGAAAAGAAGGAAGAAGAUGGAAUUAUAGGUAGGUGCCAAGCAGUUGUAUUUUGAUAAACAAAUGAGUAAAAAAUAGAACUAAAAAUUCUGUAAAGUGAGUGAAUUUUAAUAACAAGAUCAUAUUUACAGGGACUAAUUAGAGAUAUUGUAGAGAUGUUGCAUUUGAUGUAAAAGCAUGUAACCACAUGCUUUACCACUGAACCUUGUUUCUAGGCUUCUUAUUUAAUUUUGAUUUGAAUGAAGAAUGGAUUGUUUGUUUGCUUGUUUUUUCCUUUGGUUCAUUGUGCUGAAAGAUUUCAAAUAAGAUUUUAGUAUUUUAUAGAUCACACAAAAUUAGCAGGGGAAAUAUUUGAAUAUUUUUGGCAUUUGUGCUAACCAUGUUGGCUAAAAUAGAAAGUGUUUUUUGCAAUUGUGUUUGCUGAUUGAAUAUGCCUGAUCAACAUGAUGUUAUCCUGAUUUAUAUGUUCUUAUGCUUGGUUCAUAUCUAUCCAUUGCUCAUUGAAUGUUUUAUUUUUCAGGUAUUCACAAUGAGAGAUAUAUUGAAGGUAACUUGAGUACAGCUGAUGAAAUCAUCAGGAAUAUCUUGCUUUGGAGUCCUUAAUUUUUACAUCUUAACUGCAAAGCAUAGGUAAGAAGAUUCUGGUGCCAUUUUCAGGUGAGACAUUAAAUAAGCUCAGGAAACUAGUUCUGAUAUACACACUUUCCUGUGGAAUUUUUUUUUAAUUCUGAUUUGUUACACAUGAUGGCAGAAUGCAAUUCAUUUCAUAUUAUAAAUAUAGAGCACAAUUUUUCAAGAAACUGGGUGUACACAAAGUAUUUUCACACCAUUCAUGUCUUAUACAAGUACUUAGGGUAAUGAUGUCCAUCUCAUUCCCCCAUCUUUCCUACCCCUUUGCCCCUCCUUUCCCCUCCUUCCCCAUUGCCCUAUCCCUCCAUUCCUCCCAUGCUCCCCACUCCCCCCAGUUGCUAUUAUGCAUCUGCAUCUUCAUAUCAAAGAAAAUAUUCAGCCUUUGUUUUGGGGGGAUUGGCUUGCUUCACUUAGCAUUAUAUUCUCCAACUUCAUCAAUUUACCUGCAAAUGCUGUGAUUUUAUUCUCUUUAAAUGCUGAGUAAUGUUCCAUUGUGUAUAUAUGCCAAAGUUUCCCUAUCUAUUUAUCUAGUGAAGGGCAUCUAGGUUGGAUCCCUAAUUUAGCUAUUGUGAAUUGUGCAGCUAUAAACAUUGAUAUGGCUGAGUCCUUUGGGUAUAAACCGAGAGAAGUGGGAUAGCUGGGUCAAAUGGUGGUUCCAUUCCCUGUUUUCCAAGGAAUAUUCAUACUGCUUUCCGGAUUGGCUGCACCAAUUUGCAGUCCCACCAGCAAUGUAUGAGUGCACCUUUCUCCCCACAUCCUCACCAACACUUAUUGUUGUUUGCAUUCUUAAUAGCUACCAUUCUCACUGGAGUGAGAUGAAAUUUCAGAGUAGUUUUGAUUUGCAUUUCUCUAAUUGCUAGAGAUGUUGAACAUUUUUCAUAUAUUUGUUGAUUAAUUGUAUAUCUUCUUCUAAGAAAUGUCUGUUCAUUUCCUUGGCCCAUUUAUUGAUUGGGUUAUUUGUGUUUUUGGUGUUAAGGCUUUUGAUUUCUUUAUAUAUCCUGGAGAUUAGUAAUCUGUCUUAUGUGCAAGUGGUAAAGAUUUGCUCCCAUUCUGUAGGCUCUCUAUUCACCCCACUGAUUGUUCCUUUUGCUGAGAAGAAGUUUUUUAGUUUGAAUCCAUUCCAUUUGUUAAUUCUUGGGUUUAAUUUUUGCACUACAGGAAUUUUACUAAGAAAGUAGGGCCUAAUCCGACAUGAUGAUGAGUUUUGGGCCUACUUUUUCUUCCAUUAGGUUCAAGGUCUCUGGUUUAAUUCCUGUGUCCUUGAUCCACUUUGAGUUGAGUUUGUGCAUGGUGAGAAAUAGAGGUUUAAUUUCAUUUUGUUAAAUGUGGACUUCAGUUUUCUCAGCAAGAUUUGUUGAAGAGACUAUCUUUUCUCCAGUGUACAUUUUUGGCACCUUUGUCUAAUGUAAGAUAAUUGUAAUUAUAUAGGUUAGUCUCUGUGUCCUCUGUUCUGUACCAUUUGUCUACAAGUCUAUUUUGGUGCCAAUAGUAUGCUAUUUUAGUUACUAUUGCUCUGUAGUAUAGUUUUAGGUCUGGAAUAGUAAUGCCACCUGCUUCAUUCUUUUUGCUAAGGAUUGCUUUGCCUACUCUGGGUCUCUUAUUUUUCCAGAUGAAUUUCAUGAUUGCUUUUUCUAUUUCUAUAAGGAAUGCCAUUGGGAUUUUGAUUGGUAAAUAGAUUUGUCUUUUUUAUUUUUUGCAGUUUGGGGGGAUAGAACUCAGGGCUUUAUGUAUUUUAGGAAAAACAAUCUGCCACUGAUUACUUCACCAGCCCCUGAAUUAGUUGAUCAAAAGGUAGUAAAGGUGUUAUGUGUGUGCACACAGUGUGCCAUUUGUUUAUUUUACUUAUUAGCAACCAUGACAACAUAACUAAUUCCAUAAAGUAAGUGACCAAAUGUUUAAUUAAGAAAUUGAGCUGGGCGUGGUAGCUCAUGCCUAUAAUCCCAGUGGCUUGGGAGAUGGAGGCAGGAGGAUCCUGAGUUCAAAGCCAUCCUCAGCAAUUCAGUGAGGCACUAAGCAACUCAGUGAGACCCUGUCUCCAUAAAAUACAAAAUAGGGCUAGAGAUGUGGCUCAGUGGUUGAGUGCUCCGGAGUUCAAUCCCUGCUACCCCAAAACAAAAAUUAAAACAAAACAAAAACAACAUAACAAAAAUUAAAACAAAACAAAAACAACAUAACUAAUUCCAUAAAGUAACAACAACAAAAAGAAAUUGAUAAUAUAUUUGCUUUUGCAAAUAACAGUACUAUGACAAAAAGAUAAUUUUAUGGAAACCAGCAUAAUUGCUAACUGAAGUAGUGAAUCAUGACUUAUGUUAAAGUUAACUCAGCUGUAGGGUUGAUUAACAAGACAGUACUUGUAACUGUUAAUUGACAUUUCUAAAAAUAUUAAACAUGAAUAUUCACUUACCCUACUACCUUAGCAGUUCUUCAGAGUGAUAUGCUUAAAUUGUUUUGUUUUUCUUGUUAACAGAUGAUAGUUUCAAGAAAGAAUACUUCUAUCAUCCUUGGUUUUAAUCCUGUGAAUGAUAUGUACUAGCAAUGAAAGAUCUGUUGGAGUAAUUUAAUUCAUGUGUUCUUCACUCCUAUCUCUCACUUGGCGGUAUGACUAUAAGGGCCACUGACUGCCCAUUUGGUGGGGAAUGGGGUGCUUUAGUGAUAUACGUUUAUUUAUAUAGCCUGUUUUUCCUAAGUUUAAUGGCUCUUUGAUGUUACUAGUUUGCAGUAGCAUGUGUUGAGGUUGAAUAUCCUGAAACAGUUUUAUAUGGUGUCAACUAUUGUGUUGUGGGUCAACCCUUUUUUAACAACGUCCACAUGAUUUUUAUGUUAUGUUCUCUUUAUAGCUCCAUCAAAGCCUCUCUCUCAUUUUUUUAACAGAAAUAUUUUUUUGGGGGGUGGGAAUCAGGGAUUGAAUUCAGAGGCACUCAACCACUGAGCCACAUCAUCAGCCCUAUUUUGUAUUUUAUUUAGGACAAGGUC